ensembl:ribozyme RNaseP_nuc Nuclear RNase P
GUGGGUGGAAGCUCAUUGUAGAGGUCACAUGCUGAGUGCUCGUCACUCCACCAAUCACCUCGGGGAAGGUCUGAGACAAGAGCCAAUGGUUACCCUCGCAGGGUAUCACCUGAUGCAGGUGAGUGAGUGAACAGAAAGAAUGGGUCAAUGUGAGCAGUUCACGCAGGAGAAACCUGGUGGUGCUGAAAAACUCUACUGGUGGAUGUGACUGUCACUGACUUGGAAUCGCUCACGGCUGGCGGAUGAGUGCGAUGUAUGAGGUGGGGCAUAGCUCCAGAACCCAAUUCAGACUGCUCUCCCCCCAC